rnacentral:tRNA from 1 species
UAACAAGAAGCACUGUUUUGGUGUGUAUAGUUUCGGCCUAUAAGGAGGAGUGUUCCCUUGUUUU